GAUGAACGCUGGCGGCGUGCCUAAUACAUGCCAGUCGAGCGAACGGACGAGAAGCUUGCUUCUCUGAUGUUAGCGGCGGACGGGUGAGUAACACGUGGAUAACCUACCUAUAAGACUGGGAUAACUUCGGGAAACCGGAGCUAAUACCGGAUAAUAUUUUGAACCGCAUGGUUCAAAAGUGAAAGACGGUCUUGCUGUCACUUAUAGAUGGAUCCGCGCUGCAUUAGCUAGUUGGUAAGGUAACGGCUUACCAAGGCAACGAUGCAUAGCCGACCUGAGAGGGUGAUCGGCCACACUGGAACCGAGACACGGUCCAGACUCCUACGGGAGGCAGCAGUAGGGAAUCUUCCGCAAUGGGCGAAAGCCUGACGGAGCAACGCCGCGUGAGUGAUGAAGGUCUUCGGAUCGUAAAACUCUGUUAUUAGGGAAGAACAUAUGUGUAAGUAACUGUGCACAUCUUGACGGUACCUAAUCAGAAAGCCACGGCUAACUACGUG
rnacentral:rRNA from 1 species